GCAAGUCGAACGAAGUAGCAAUACUUAGUGGCAGACGGGUGAGUAACAUGUGGGUAUCUGCCCUUUGGCCUGGAAUAACACGAGGAAACUUGUGCUAAUACCGGAUAAGUCUUUACGGAGAAAGCUUUAUGCACCAUUGGAUGAGCCCGCACUUGAUUAGUUUGUUGGUAGGGUAAUGGCCUACCAAGACAUCGAUCAGUAGCUGGUCUGAGAGGAUGAUC
rnacentral:rRNA from 1 species